GACGAACGCUGGCGGCGUGCUUAACACAUGCAAGUCGAACGGAAAGGCCCUUCGGGGUACUCGAGUGGCGAACGGGUGAGUAACACGUGGGUGAUCUGCCCUGCACUUUGGGAUAAGCCUGGGAAACUGGGUCUAAUACCGAAUAGGACCACGCGCUUCAUGGUGUGUGGUGGAAAGCUUUUGCGGUGUGGGAUGGGCCCGCGGCCUAUCAGCUUGUUGGUGGGGUAAUGGCCUACCAAGGCGACAACGGGUAGCCGGCCUGAGAGGGUGACCGGCCACACUGGGACUGAGAUACGGCCCAGACUCCUACGGGAGGCAGCAGUGGGGAAUAUUGCACAAUGGGCGCAAGCCUGAUGCAGCGACGCCGCGUGAGGGAUGACGGCCUUCGGGUUGUAAACCUCUUUCAAUAGGGACGAAGCGCAAGUGACGGUACCUAUAGAAGAAGCACCGGCCAACUACGUG
rnacentral:rRNA from 1 species